GCCGCCGCCGGGUUGUUGGCUCCGCACUGGUUGUAGAGCAGGAAUGGGAUCUGUGCUCAGCUCCCCAAGGUGUGUUCACACGUGAGCAAACACAGUCCUAGUGCAGCCCUCCAUUGCAGCAGUGCACUGCCUGCCCCUCUGCUGCCACACAGGGCUGUGCCAGGCAUAGGAUCGGAGCUGUGAGACCCCGCACAGCUGAGGGAUCUCAUGGGACCAAUCUGUGGCUGCACACACCGGCGUGGAUCGACGGCUUUGCGUCACGUUAUCGCAUAUCUGCUCCUGCUGCAUUGCACACCGGCAGGUUUCUGCUGCAUUAUCCUAACUGGGGGAACUCCCAUUCCCACAGCUAUGCUGGGGCCCAGAGCCGGCCAUUAACUGACCCUUCUGGCACCCGAUCUGCAUGCAGGAAUGCACGGCGGCCUCGAGAGGGACGCUGCUUUUCCCUCUGAAAUCUUUCUGCUAUUACUGAUAACUGAGCACUGAAUAUGGACGCGCUCUCUUUCAAAAGCACCACGUCCUUCUCCAUGCAGCACGGCGCAGACUCACACCCCGUUGCUGGCAGAGCUGCUUCCACGCAUUUCAGCAUUGGUUUUUUUUGCUCAAAACUGUGUUUUCUGCUCUCUCCUGCUUGUGUUUCACUGCCUCGUCAGGGCUGCAAACAUCAGAGGGAGCUGCAGGCUGCUGCUCGGCCCCGUGUGCGGCUGCAAGGGUGGACACCGCGUGGAGCAAGCAGCACCGGCCCUUGGCCACCGUGCAGGCGGCUAAUUAGAGCCCUGCGUGUGAUGAAAUAAAUGAAAAUGAGUCAUUUUGUGGUGGUGGCCUGAUGGAAAGAAGCCCAGGAGGGAAGGGAUCGUAUGGACAGUGCAGGAAUGUGCUCGGGGUGCUGUCACACCCAGGCAGGGGUGCAGAAAGGACGGGGAGAAGCGGCUGCCCGUCCCUGGAGUGAAGCAGAAGUGAUCAGCAGUGUUAUUAGACAAAGAGGCGCCGUCAGAAACAGUGCCAUCUGGGAGGCUUCGACUUCCCCGAAAUAAAGCUGAGAACAAACGCUCCUAAAAACGGCACCGUGCUGCUAUUUCUAGACCUGAUCACCACCAGAUUGCUUUACCAAUCAGGCGCUCGCAGCCGGCUCAGCACAACGAGCAGCCCGAGCACAGCCACGCUGCAGGAAGCAGAGGACAUCCUACGUUGCUCUGCGCUGUGGAGGUGCAUUCCAAGCAGAAGAUGGGAACAGAGACCCACAGAAGCGUCACCCAGGUGCCACCACCGUGAGCUCCUAUUUUGGGCUGAUGCUGCAGCACCCAGCGGCGCGGGGCACUUUGGCUCAGCACAGGGCUAUUUUCAGAGCUGCCCUUCUCUGCACGUGCUCUGAGCCAGUGUCCAACCAUGGGGCGCUUUCUAGGGGCGGUGGCGAGGAAGGGGAUCCUGGCUGGGACAGCAGAGGUGACACCAGAGCUGCUGGGACCGAGGAGACACCCCAGGCCCUUGUCCUCAGCCCCACGGAGCUCAGCUCUGCCCCAUAGCUUCACCACUGCCCCAGCCCAAACCUGGCUCUGAGCUGAGUGUCGGCACCCAGGUGCUGUUCUGUCUGUCCCCAGCACAGGGGCAUGGCUGGAAAAGCUCCUUACUGUGCCAGAACACACCUUAAAAAAAUCACUUUAUACUUCAGAGAACCUAAAUAAGGGUUAAUGCAGCACAGCAGUGCUUUUGCAGCCCCCUCCCCCUGUACUCCCCACCUCCACAUGCCCCAAAGCCAGCCCCAUAGCAUCCUCAAACCCAAAACCAUCCCAAACCCCCAGUCAUCCCAUCCCCAAAGCCAUCCCCUCCCACCCCAUGCUGUCUCUGUGCCUCAGUUUCCCCCAACCCCACAGAGCCCAGGGCACUCUGGGACCACAGCAACCCCCACCCCCACCCCCCCAGAGCUGGGAGAAGUGAACAUGGGGUGGGACAGCCCCCACCCUUGGGUCGGUCUCAACGCAUUUUUAUUAAAUCCUUACAAAACAGAAUACAAAAUUCUGGCAUCAACAAUGGUUAUAAAGGAAAACUUCAAUCCAGCUGUAUCAGUUCACCUGGUACAUACAGUAAAGUGCUUGUUGGUUGUAGGGUUUUUUUCUUCCUUUUUAAUUCUCUGGUUUUUCUUUUCCCCUUUAUUUUUAUUCCCCAGCCAGCCCCAAGCAGAGGCAGCGGGGUACAAUGCGUCAGCCCAGCUUUGGCAGUCUUCAUCCAUUGUAAAGCGGAGAAAAUCCCCCCAUUUCCAUUAAAAAAAAAGAAGUUAGCUUCACAGUACAAGUUUCUACCCAGUCCUACGUCAGGUUAGUGGGGCCGGAGGGGGAGUGCAGGGAUGGGAGGGGGCAAAAUGCUUAAAGUUUCCAGCUUCAAAACUAUCGUAACAUCUGGUUUCUGGGAUAGGUGCUCUGUGGGGCUUUGCAGGAGUGGGUGAAGGGCUUUGGGGAGCACCCAUGGGUGCCACAGGGCUGAUCCUGGAGGUGGGGGACAGCCCAGCCCCACAGCCCAGCCCUGUGCUGCUCCCACCCCACAGCAGACCUCGGGAACCCCAGCCCGAGGUGUUGGCUGCGCAUCCUUCCAGCAGUUCUUAAUAUAAGACAACGAGGAAUCAUCCACGACUGAUAGCACAAAGUAAGCGAUCCAUGUCACAACGUACAAUCAAGAUGGAUUUUCUGUUUUUCCUCGGGGGGGGGGGGGGAGGUUUCCCAUGCAGGGGGAGGGAGGACCGGGGGUCUUGAGGCAUCACCAUCCCUGACCCCACAGUGCUGCAGAGGGGUGGGGAGGGCAGCCCUAACCCUGGAGGAAACCCCCGCCCCAAAACAACCCCACACGUAUUGCAUAGUAUUGCUGUCAGCAGUCUGAAAACAGAAAGGAGAACUCUUUUUUCCAGCGACCUGGGGAUGUCUCUCCCAUAUCCAGGCAAGCUCCCACUGCGCACACCGUGGGGCACAGUUGCUUUUUGCUUCCUCCCCCCCCCCCCCCCCCCC